AACGUAGGAGGCAAGCGUUAUCCGGAGUUACUGGGCGUAAAGGGCGCGCAGGUGGUUGUGUAAGUGUUGUGUGAAAGCACUCGGCUAAACUGGGUGAGGUCGCAACAGACUGCACGACUAGAGGGUGAUAGAAGCACGCGGAAUUCGGGGUGUAGCGGUGAAAUGUGUAGAGAUCCCGAGGAACACCAGUGGUGAAAACGGCGUGCUGGGUCAUACCUGACACUGAGGCGCGAAAGCUUGGGGAGCGAACGGG
rnacentral:rRNA from 1 species